AUUUCUGUUCGAGUUCAAUAAAGAUAUUUACAAGAAGUGUAACAUUGGUAGAAGAUUAGCAUGGCCCCUGCGCAAGGAUGUCACGCAAAAUCGUGAAGCGUUCCACAUUAUU